GAUGAACGCUGGCGGCGUGCCUAAUACAUGCAAGUCGAGCGAACAGACGAGGAGCUUGCUCCUCAGACGUUAGCGGCGGACGGGUGAGUAACACGUGGAUAACCUACCUAUAAGACUGGGAUAACUUCGGGAAACCGGAGCUAAUACCGGAUAACAUGUUGAACCGCAUGGUUCAACAGUGAAAGACGGUUUUGCUGUCACUUAUAGAUGGAUCCGCGCCGCAUUAGCUAGUUGGUAAGGUAACGGCUUACCAAGGCAACGAUGCGUAGCCGACCUGAGAGGGUGAUCGGCCACACUGGAACUGAGACACGGUCCAGACUCCUACGGGAGGCAGCAGUAGGGAAUCUUCCGCAAUGGGCGAAAGCCUGACGGAGCAACGCCGCGUGAGUGAAGAAGGUCUUCGGAUCGUAAAACUCUGUUAUUAGGGAAGAACAAAUGUGUAAGUAACUAUGCACGUCUUGACGGUACCUAAUCAGAAAGCCACGGCUAACUACGUG
rnacentral:rRNA from 1 species